AGGACGAACGCUGGCGGCGUGCUUAACACAUGCAAGUCGAGCGGAAAGGCCCUUCGGGGUACUCGAGCGGCGAACGGGUGAGUAACACGUGAGCAACCUGCCCUUAGCUUCGGGAUAGCUCCGGGAAACCGGAAUUAAUACCGAAUAUGACUUUGGCUGACAUCAGCAGAAGUGGAAAGUUUUUCGGCUAGGGAUGGACUCGCGGCCUAUCAGCUAGUUGGUGAGGUAACGGCCCACCAAGGCGACGACGGGUAGCCGGCCUGAGAGGGCGACCGGCCACACUGGGACUGAGACACGGCCCAGACUCCUACGGGAGGCAGCAGUGGGGAAUAUUGCGCAAUGGGGCGAAAGCCUGACGCAGCGACGCCGCGUGGGGGAUGAAUGCCUUCGGGUUGUAAACCCUUUCAGCAGGGACGAAGCGAAAGUGACGGUACCUGCAGAAGAAGCGCCGGCUAACUACGUGCCAGCAGCCGC
rnacentral:rRNA from 1 species